CCUGCGGAGGGAUCAUUACCGAGUUAUACAACUCAUCAACCCUGUGAACAUACCUAAAACGUUGCUUCGGCGGGAACAGACGGCCCCGUAACACGGGCCGCCCCCGCCAGAGGACCCCCUAACUCUGUUUCUAUUAUGUUUCUUCUGAGUAAAACAAGCAAAUAAAUUAAAACUUUCAACAACGGAUCUCUUGGCUCUGGCAUCGAUGAAGAACGCAGCGAAAUGCGAUAAGUAAUGUGAAUUGCAGAAUUCAGUGAAUCAUCGAAUCUUUGAACGCACAUUGCGCCCGCCAGUAUUCUGGCGGGCAUGCCUGUUCGAGCGUCAUUACAACCCUCAGGCCCCCGGGCCUGGCGUUGGGGAUCGGCGAGGCGCCCCCUGCGGGCACACGCCGUCCCCCAAAUACAGUGGCGGUCCCGCCGCAGCUUCCAUUGCGUAGUAGCUAACACCUCGCAACUGGAGAGCGGCGCGGCCACGCCGUAAAACACCCAACUUCUGAAUGU
rnacentral:sRNA from 1 species